GACGAACGCUGGCGGCGUGCUUAACACAUGCAAGUCGAACGGAAAGGCCCUGCUUUUGUGGGGUGCUCGAGUGGCGAACGGGUGAGUAACCCGUGAGUCACCUGCCCUUGACUUUGGGAUAACUUCAGGAAACUGGGGCUAAUACCGGAUAGGAGCUCCUGCUGCAUGGUGGGGUUUGGAACGUUUCGGCGGUUGGGGAUGGACUCGCGGCUUAUCAGCUUGUUGGUGGGGUAGUGGCUUACCAAGGCUUUGACGGGUAGCCGGCCUGAGAGGGUGAACGGCCACAUUGGGACUGAGAGACGGCCCAGACUCCUACGGGAGGCAGCAGUGGGGAAUAUUGCACAAUGGGCGGAAGCCUGAUGCAGCAACGCCGCGUGCGGGAUGACGGCCUUCGGGUUGUAAACCGCUGUCGCCUGUGACGAAGCGUGAGUGACGGUAAUGGGUAAAGAAGCACCGGCUAACUACGUG
rnacentral:rRNA from 1 species